rnacentral:tRNA from 1 species
UCCGCUGUUGGUGUAACUGGUAGCCACGCAUGGUUUAGGCCCAUGUGCCCUUACGGGCGUGGGGGUUCGAAUCCCUCACA